CCAUGCAAGUCGAACGGUAACAGGAAGCAGCUUGCUGCUUCGCUGACGAGUGGCGGACGGGUGAGUAAUGUCUGGGAAACUGCCUGAUGGAGGGGGAUAACUACUGGAAACGGUAGCUAAUACCGCAUAACGUCGCAAGACCAAAGAGGGGGACCUUCGGGCCUCUUGCCAUCGGAUGUGCCCAGAUGGGAUUAGCUAGUAGGUGGGGUAACGGCUCACCUAGGCGACGAUCCCUAGCUGGUCUGAGAGGAUGACCAGCCACACUGGAACUGAGACACGGUCCAGACUCCUACGGGAGGCAGCAGUGGGGAAUAUUGCACAAUGGGCGCAAGCCUGAUGCAGCCAUGCCGCGUGUAUGAAGAAGGCCUUCGGGUUGUAAAGUACUUUCAGCGGGGAGGAAGGCGAUAAGGUUAAUAACCUUGUCGAUUGACGUUACCCGCAGAAGAAGCACCGGCUAACUCCGUGCCAGCAGCCGCGGUAAUACGGAGGGUGCAAGCGUUAAUCGGAAUUACUGGGCGUAAAGCGCACGCAGGCGGUCUGUCAAGUCGGAUGUGAAAUCCCCGGGCUCAACCUGGGAACUGCAUUCGAAACUGGCAGGCUAGAGUCUUGUAGAGGGGGGUAGAAUUCCAGGUGUAGCGGUGAAAUGCGUAGAGAUCUGGAGGAAUACCGGUGGCGAAGGCGGCCCCCUGGACAAAGACUGACGCUCAGGUGCGAAAGCGUGGGGGAGCAAACAGGAUUAGAUACCCUGGUAGUCCACGCCGUAAACGAUGUCGACUUGGA
rnacentral:rRNA from 1 species